rnacentral:rRNA from 1 species
GACGAACGCUGGCGGCGUGCUUAACACAUGCAAGUCGAACGGAAAGGCCCUGCUUUUGUGGGGUGCUCGAGUGGCGAACGGGUGAGUAACACGUGAGUAACCUGCCCUUGACUUUGGGAUAACUUCGGGAAACUGGGGCUAAUACCGGAUAGGAGCUCCUGCUGCAUGGUGGGGGUUGGAAAGUUUCGGCGGUUGGGGAUGGACUCGCGGCUUAUCAGCUUGUUGGUGGGGUAGUGGCUUACCAAGGCUUUGACGGGUAGCCGGCCUGAGAGGGUGACCGGCCACAUUGGGACUGAGAUACGGCCCAGACUCCUACGGGAGGCAGCAGUGGGGAAUAUUGCACAAUGGGCGGAAGCCUGAUGCAGCAACGCCGCGUGCGGGAUGACGGCCUUCGGGUUGUAAACCGCUUUCGCCUGUGACGAAGCGUGAGUGACGGUAAUGGGUAAAGAAGCAUCGGCUAACUACGUG